rnacentral:rRNA from 1 species
CGGGGGGCAGCAGUGGGGAAUCUUGCGCAAUGGGCGAAAGCCUGACGCAGCCAUGCCGCGUGAAUGAUGAAGGUCUUAGGAUUGUAAAAUUCUUUCACCGGGGACGAUAAUGACGGUACCCGGAGAAGAAGCCCCGGCUAACUUCGUGCCAGCAGCCGCGGUAAUACGAAGGGGGCUAGCGUUGCUCGGAAUUACUGGGCGUAAAGGGAGCGUAGGCGGACAUUUAAGUCAGGGGUGAAAUCCCGGGGCUCAACCUCGGAAUUGCCUUUGAUACUGGGUGUCUUGAGUAUGAGAGAGGUAUGUGGAACUCCGAGUGUAGAGGUGAAAUUCGUAGAUAUUCGGAAGAACACCAGUGGCGAAGGCGACAUACUGGCUCAUUACUGACGCUGAGGCUCGAAAGCGUGGGGAGCAAACAGGAUUAGAUACCCCGGU